GACGAACGCUGGCGGCGUGCUUAACACAUGCAAGUCGAGCGGUAAGGCCCUUUCGGGGGUACACGAGCGGCGAACGGGUGAGUAACACGUAAGUAAUCUACCUUCGAGUGGGGAAUAACGUCCGGAAACGGACGCUAAUACCGCAUAAUGCAGCGGCAUCGCAAGAUGACAGUUGUUAAAGAUUUAUCGCUUGAAGAGGAGCUUGCGGCAGAUUAGCUAGUUGGUAAGGUAAUGGCUACCAAGGCUACGAUCUGUAACCGGUCUAAGAGGACGGUCGGUCACACUGACACUGAAUAACGGGUCAGACUCCUAC
rnacentral:rRNA from 1 species